CCUCCUCACAGCAUGGGGGCAGGAAUUAAAGGCUCUCUUUCUAUUUUCAGGUGAAAUGAAGGUCUUCCAAAUAAAGGGAGGAUGAUAAGAGGCUGCUGAAUUUACGAAAAAAAGUCAGCCAGGUUUUUCUAAUAUGAGAUAUGAACAGACCAGGUGGCCAUUCCUACCAGGGAGAAGUGAGGGGAGAAGAACUGUGGUGGACCUUACUUGUCAUGGGGAGAGUAUGAAAAGCAGAUGCAAGACAAAGCAACAUGGACUUGCCA